rnacentral:tRNA from 2 species
GCACCGCUAGCUCAACUGGCAGAGCAUCUGACUCUUAAUCAGAGGGUUCUGGGUUCGAGUCCCAGGCGGUGUACGA